ACUUUGUUAAUGGUGACACAACACCAUCUUUGUCCUUAAAUCCAUCUUCACAUGUUGUAGCGGCAUCCAUAACCGAACUUAUUUGUAUAUUCGCAUCAUAAUAUUUCUUCGAAUUAUAACUCUUCAUAGCAAGCUUGAUAGAUGGAAUCGCGUCUGUAUAAAGCUCCAAACAAUCACUCAAGCAACUCUUAACAUAAGGAUCCAAUUUUUGUUCCUUCAAUAAUAUCUUAACGUGACACCUCGUAUCAG
rnacentral:misc_RNA from 1 species